CCACCUGGUUUAAUUGCCACCUGGUUUAAUUGCCGCCCCACGUAAUUACGGACAAGGUAGCUCAGCUGUGGUUGGUUGUGAGGUCCUGAUUGGAAGGGCUUCUAAAGAGAGAGCAGGGAUAAAAGAGGGUCGUUUGGCCUCAGCUGAUUUCUUCUGCUCCCAUUUUCUUCUCAGCCUCUCUAACAGGGAGCCCUUGGACUGCAAACUUGGUUUGAGCAGGGCUGUUAUUUACACGUUCUGCUUUUGUAGGUAGCUUUAUGUUUUUAAUUACACCUCAGAGCAUCUGAAUUGUUCUGCUAUUCCUACGAGUUUCCUUGAGUGCUAAUUAGAUUGAAACCUUUGGUGCAAUCAAUAGAUUCUCAUCUCGGUACUGACCAAGCCAGUCCCAAACAGUAAUUUACAGCUCUGGUUGUUAUGAAAUCAAUACAGAUUUGCUUUUCAUUGAGAGGACUGUAAAGCAUGGGUGACAGCCGGUGUGGUAAGCAGCUGGUGUGGAAAUGGAUCCCUUGCUGGUGUUGGAGAGUGGCCAGAGAGCUUCAGAGAGGAGAAGCUUUGGGAGCAGAGCACGCCUCUUCCACCUGCUGGGCUGAGGAUGCUGAUGGAGCGCUGGGCUCCUGCCCUUCUACUGAGCAGGAGUGUUGUGACAAAUCCCAGCAAGCAAUCUCCUUCCAGAAACCGUCGAAGCAAAAAAGAUGUCAUCUUGAUUACACCAAACCCAGAGAAGAAAAGCUUGGGGCAGCGGAAAGCCAAAAGGAGGGAUUGUUGUUGGGUCAAAGGGAAGCGCCACUGAGAGAAGCAUUCAGGUUUAUGGGUUGGGAGGGCUGAAACUGAGAGCCUCAGCUUCAGAGGAGCCUCAGAAAUUCGUGGGUGUCUCUGUCGCUUGCUUUGUCCCUGGGGUGAGGGUCAGUGUGAUUAAUUAGCAGCAGGGCUGAACAGCUGAUCGCUAUCUGCCUGAUAAGAGCCCUGCCAUGGAAACCCUGAUUGUUGCAGGAGAGGUCUCAAUAGCCUCAGUGAAUUGCUUUGGGGCUGUUUGUCCUGCCAGUAAGAGAAAGAAUUUCCUUUUUAAAAUCCAAAUCAGAGAUGCUGAAGGACUCCUGCGUGGCUAUGGGAGGCAAGGGGGACUUUGGGGAUGCAGUAACACCUGCAGGGCUAUGGGCUUGAUCCGUAGAUAGACUUGAAGCAGUUCUGUCACCUGGAGUCCUCACCGUUGCCCACCCUCAGUGCCCACCAGGAUAACGAUGAGUUCUUUGGGACCAAGCCAAGCAUUGGCAUGGGCUGCCCAGGGAGGUAGUGGGGUCUCCAUCCAUGGAGGUGUUGGAGGAACGUGGGGAUGUGGCACUGAUGGACGCGGUUAGUGGGCAUGGGGUGGGUGGGUUGGGGUUGGAAGUGUUGUUCUUAGUAGGCUUUAUGAUUCUGUGCGUGGGCAUGGUAGUGAUGGGUUGAUGGCUGGACCACAUGGUUUUAGUGGUCUUUUCCAAGCUUAAUGAUUCCAUGAUGCUUGAGGGCUGCUGCGAGGUGACAGCAUGCAGGACAUGUCCUCAUGCACAUCCCCUGUGCUGUCCUCUGUGUGUCCUGCGCAUGGGAUACACGCCAGGGGAAGGAGCUCUGUUCUUGUCCUCUCCCUCCUCCUGCUCCUCUCCCCAUCUGGCCACGCAGCUCUGAGAAAGGAAACAACCACCCCAGUGCGUCAGAUUGUUCUUUGGUGAAUGGUUUAAGCCGAAUCGUCUGGAACAACGUCUGGAAAAAAGGGAACGGCAUUUCCCACAGCAGCAGCUUUUAAAUAUUAGUGAAUAUGGAGCCAAGUGUGAAUAAUUCAUUCAAAGAGAGACAUGAGCUCAGUUUUCUUAUGCAACGGGCGGGCGAAGAGUUGGAUUUGAUUCAGAGCGGUAAGAAAUGACAGCAGGGGGGUGACAGCACCCAUAUAGCAGCUCUUCCUCCUGCACCUUCCUGCUGGGUUCUGUCAGCCCUUGAGAACUGGUGUCCCCAUCGUUUAUUGCCUUGGAUUUGGGCUCCCUGGGCCAAAGUGGAAGCAGAGGAUAAAGGAAAACAGCACCCUAUGAGACGGUCCCGAUCCAGCGGUGCACAGCUGGAUGCCGCUGGGUGUGGGCUGCUGCGCUUCUUCACUGCUCAGCACUGGAGCCUCUCUCUUAUUGAUUGCUUCCGUUUUCCAGCCCGCGUUGACAUGAUAAUAUUUGGCAGCAACAUUAAUGCUGAAAUAUGAGCCGCGCUUGGGCCUUUUUAUUUUUAAUCGCUUGAAAAAUGACCCGGGGAAGGCACUCGUGCCCUCGCAAUCUCUGUAAUUGGCUGGUGGUGCUGCGUGGGGAAUGAUGCUUCGACCCACCCGUGACCCAUCCCGUAGCCGCAGGGUGACCCAGGGCGCUGCAGAGCUUCCCAUGCCUGCAGCAGAUGGGGACUGGAAGGCUGGCCAGCGUCCUCCCUGGGGACAACGGGAGCGUGAAGGACAGGGCUGGAGUGCUCUUGGCACUGGGCUCAUUUAAUCUCCAAAUGGCAGGGGAGAGGGACGCGGCGGUCACCUUGGCCACCUGCCAUAUGGCCGUCCUUCGCACCCGGAGUGACCCAAUUAAACCCAUCCUCCUUGUACCCAUCUCCCUGUGCUGCCUCCUGCCCUGACAGCUCUCCUUACCCUCACCAGCAGAGCAGCUCUUUCCAUCCACUUCAUGGGGGAUGUCAAUGGAUGGGCCCAGGCUGAGGUGCAGCCUUCCUCCCCUUUCCAUGUACUUCAGCAGCAUCACUGCCUAUCUUCAGCAUCCAUGCCUACGUUGGAGCAACACGUGCUCAGCACUGAGGCAAUUUGGCCAAUGAGCAACUCAGACAGGACCCUAGAUGCUUGUCUAGAUUGAUUGCCAGACCUUUUGUGCCAUCCAUCAUGGCAGCAUCCCAAUAAAUGGGUGGCUGGGACCACAGGGCUGGUGGUAUGGUACGUGCUGAGAUGCCACCAAGGCCACCUGAUGGCUGCCACUUGCAAUGUCCCCACAGUGGCUUCUCUCCUCUACAGCUCCUGCUGCAGGGCUGAGGCUCUUUGGUGUGAGUCCCCUCCCCCCCCCAGCUUUUAGCAGAUGCCUAUCAGGGUGAGGUGCAGCAGCUGCUGCCCUGGAUUUGUCGCUUCUGGAAUCGGGACACAGCUCUGGGAGCUCCAAAAACCAUCAGCUCAGUCCUUCCCCUGGCUGUGCUCAGAGCCCUCACCGGCUCCAUCAGCACACAGCCCUGCUGCGGCUGAAUAAUUCAGUGCUCUGCAGCAGCUCUGGGCCUGCUGAGCCUGCAGCACCGCUGGAGAAUGCCAACAAGGCGGGUGCUGCAGAGCAGCAGCAGCAGCAGCCAGCCACCGUUUGGGCUCAGAAAGCUGAAAAUUGAAUUCUUCUCCCUGCAGCCAAGCAAUGGACCAGAAUGCAGUGCUGGCAAGGCAAAUCUGCUCUGGAGAGACAUGGGGACACGUGGUGAUGUCAGGGCAAGGAGCACCCUGAGGGCUGGCAGGUCUCUGGCUACUGUUCAGUGCAGGAUGUGCCAUGAUGCUGGAUGAGAACUGGAAGCACUCUGGGUGCUCCCUGCAGCAUCCUUUGCCUCCCCUCGCCUUGUCCUGGGUGGUGGCUUUGUCAUCCCAUCAGGACAAGGGACAGCUGGGGACAUCCCUGAAGGUGGGACACUUUUGUUAAGCUGCUUAGCUUAGAGUGUGGAGCACCAGGACAAUGUUCCAGUGCUAGUUAGGGGCCAUUGAGGCCAGAAGGGAAACGAGGAAGUGGUUUUGGGACUGAAAAUAUAGGCAUGUGGAGAGGAUUUGCUGCCAAUGAACACACUGAGGCUGUUUUUGGCUGAACUUUGUUUUUCCCAGACAGGUUUUACCUUGCCCUGAGUGCAAGGCUUGCAUGCAAAUGGGAUGGAGCAAAAGGGCUGAAUCAUCCCCAAAAUGUAUGCUGGGGCCCUCGGCCCUGGCCAUGGCCCCAGGACUGGGGGCACAUCAGUGAGAGCAGCAGCAUCCUUUCCCCAGAGUGCCCUCACCACCUUCCAUCCCAGGAGCCAGCACUCCCCAAAUGGAGACCCAGGCUGAGGCUGCAUCUUGGCCAUCGUCUUGUCCAUCAACUUGGCGACCAUUUUGGCCAUCGUCUUGUCCAUCAUAAUGACCCAAAGCUGCAGUGGUGACCCUGCUGCCUGCUUUCCAUCACUGCUGUCUCCUCAUUCCAAUUGCUGCUUCUGAUGGGGUGCAGAUGCCCUCAGCUUGCUACUUGCCUCCCCACCAAGCUGGAGCUUCCUCACAAGGCUGCAGGAAGCGUGACGGCGCUGCAAGGAAUUCAAAUCACUUUGCUGUGCAAAUCAACAGCCAGCAGAAGUAAGGCUGGGGGAGAAGUAUUCCCAUUUAUGUACAGAAAUUGUGCUAACCAAGCAGGUUUUGACAAGGAGCUAUGAACAUGCAGAGGGAAGAGAAAUGCCGACGGCAUUAAUGUUUGUGUCUUCUUGCAACUUUUAUGUCUGACUCAGAAUUAACUUUUGAGCUGGAAAAGCACUAACUUCUGAUAAUUAAGCCCAAAAUACAUUGGUCUCAACGUUAGGUGUCACCCACACACAUAUGUUCAGUCCCCAGCCCUAUUAUUUUAAAUUGAUGCAAUUAUUCAUCUUGCAGAGUAAUAUAUUUCUUGUUCUCUGGUGCCCAGUAGAGCUUAAAGCAGAACAAAUGCUUUAAUAAAAUCGAGGUGGUGCUUCCUGGAAGCCACAGUGCUGGGUUAUUAAGGACUGUAGUGUGAGGAGCAGGUUUGGGAAUCUUUAAUAACUUAUUGCCUAAUAUUUCUUCCUUGCAACGUAUUUAUGUGAUUAGUAAACGUUUUCUGUUCACUGAUUAACUUUGUUUAUUUCUUAAUUAGGUUUAGCACUGUCUAUCUUUGUGGUUGCAAAAUAAUGGUUUGAUUAAUGUGCCUGAAUUUACAUUUUCAUUAAGCCCCUGCAUCGGUUCUGUACCAAUUAGCUGCGCCGUAAUAUGCAGAUCUGGGACAUUAGAAUUACAGUUUUAGCCCAUUAGGUAAUAACUGUUAUAUUGAUUGGUGAUAAUGGAGCGCAG
ensembl:lncRNA